UCACACGGCGCGUGUCAGUCAAAGUAAAAUGAGACAAGAUAAAAGGUGGAGUGGGCGUAGGUUAACACUUCUGCAUCAUGGCGGCGUUUCAUGCAAAUGCCGCUUUCGUAAGGCGGCAAACGACUCACUGGACGCGGUAACAGCAGUAUUAGGUCGUCAGAUCCAGCAUAUCGCUUGCAGUAGCCCCCACAGUGCCCACAUCGGAUGAAGAGGUGUGCUUGAUGAAUGUGACCGAGGCACUGCAAUGUUCGUCAAGCGAGCAUUUCUUGACGGGCCAAGUAUCAACCGAAUACGGACUUUCUUUUACUUCGAGUGCGCAACACUGUGCACCGGGCGCCAACAGCGGUGUCUUACGGCUACAAAUUCAUCGUGGCGGCACUUCUCGUUACGCAGGUGUCUUCCAGGCACAUGAUCAAGGCGCGCUUCGUGUCGCACGUGCUUGAACACUCAGCACAACGCCCUCAGUUUCCAACAGUCACACCACGCAGGGCUUCGAGCAGUUGUCGACGACAGGGUGGCAUGGACGACUCUUGUGGCCGUUUCAACCGCGGCAACCGCCGUUGCCGUUAAGCCCAUUCUCGUCCAAGAAGCUGCCGGAAGCAUAAUGUCGAAAACAUCAUUUAUUUUCUUCAGUCUGGUACACUGGCGUUUUUCUCGCGAGACCACAUUCAUUGGGCACUCCAUGCACUCACCCUCUUAAAAUAGCAUCCUCGCAUCCACUGCCUGCCCCACAACGCUAUUUGCCAAACAAGAAAUAAUGUAAAAUCCUAUUUCUGGGUGACCGGCGUUCUUACGUAACGCGAGAUCAGGAUGUUGUGUGUUGUCAGAACAAUAAUAACUUCUUUCUAGUUCUCGCCAUCUAAGAGGCUCAAUCAGCAUUAAUGAAACGGAAGCGGUUAUAAUAUGUAUAAUAUGUAUAUGCGAAUGAUAACCUAAACAGGACAACUAUAUUGCAGCAAAACAAAUCACGACGGAGCGCCUCUCUGUAGUUACGGGCUUCGCAGAUGUUGCAUAGCCUACAUUGUCGCUCGUAGGUUGCAUCUUCAUUGUUUGAUACCGUGCAUAACAUAGUUAUUCUACUUUGUAGUGUUAAGAGAAGAAAUAAUAAAACCAAGAAAUAUUUUCAAUCAGUCUUCUAGAGAAGUUGUACGCCUAUGAUUAUCUACAGGCUAACUUGCGGUAUAAUUAGCGAAGAUCGCAGUAAACUAAUGUUAACAUGUUAUAUUACACUUAUGUACAGGGCAAAUUCGUUCGGGAAUUCUUGCCGAAACAUUUCUAGAGAAUAAACAAGCACAGAUGAUGCGGACAAAGUGUAAAAAUGCUACUGAACUGCAGCCCGGCUUAACAAUUGUACCGCAGGGCGCUCUAGUCCGUGAAGUGGCCUUUGGUGCAUACCUUUACUUGUCACUUUUUCGUAGCUCCAAAUGACGCCAAAUAAUCGACUACAUAGCUUGAAUUACUCUCCCAGAAGUUAUACAGAAAGCACAUGUGGUAGAUUGACUCCGAAAUUUAUGCUAGAAGGCGAAUCGAAUAUUGAAUCUACUUGCUCGAAUCGUGGUAAUGUUAUUGAGAUCCUGAGAAUGUACUGUGUGAAGUCAGAUGGAAGUUUGGGAAGUUGAUUCACCAGUGCCGCCAGCAGAGACUGCAUGCCACUAUGAACGUGGGAAAUUGACCGGACUAACUCUCGGUUUUGAUCUGAGUAAAACUGAAAGGGCCGACCCCUAAAUUCAACACUUGGAGCGCUGCACUCGACGGAAGCAAAAUGCCAGUUGUCCCUUGAAGCAUCGUCACUUCAAGUUUUGUUUGAAUAGUCAGCUGACGAACUGUCGUAAUUCGUAAGUGGUCAUUGCGGUUUAUGUAGAUACGCUGCUUACCUCACAUCUCACGCAAAACGAGUGUCAAAAAGGGUGAAGACGGCGGAGAUUCCGAGAGUGGCUACGCACUGCACUUUUGAUGAUACCGUUAGCCAAAACAAGAGAGGCGCAUGAAACCAUUAGAAAUGAUACAAACUCUUCAUUUGAAAUGUUUUCUUCUAAACCUGACGAGAAUUUGUGUUACGACAUUCAGAUACAUAUAAGUUCACAACUCUAGGCUUUAAAUCAGGACAUGAUCUGCCAUUCUGUGACUUUUCUAAUUGAUCUUCGCAACACAUUCCCGUCUGCUUUUAUAACAACGAUAUCUUGCGGAAAAGGCGGCGACCAUAGUGUCGAACAUUACCUACAACCUCACCUUAUUCAUCUACAUAAACUUGCUUCUAUUUCAAGGAACGCCGUAACAUACUUUUUACACAGGUUCUCUCGGACACUUUUGCGUAACUACCCAACUCAGUUUAAAAAAUGACUCGGGAGGCGACAAUCUCGUUACUACAUUUUAAAGUUUUCUACGCGCAAUCAUCUUUAUUGUACUACAAAACGAGUGACACAGCUGCAGAUGACCAAGAAGGCUCGUAAUGGCAUCCUCACUUUCAGGAAUCCAGCAAUAGAGCCUGCUUUGGUAUAAAUUAACGUUGAAAGAUGGGCGACGCCGGUAAAAAAACCGUUACAUUACAUUAGAUGUUUUGCUGAAAUCAACCUUUUGAUAUUCAUGAUACGCAUUGUUGUAAGCACUGUUCCUUCUGAUUUCUUUUUCCGUGCACGUGCCGUUUUUUUCCAGUGGCUUUCUUGCCAAAUAUUGAUCAGAAUGUUUAUCGCGUCCCAUUUUCAUUAUCACUUUAAAAGCAGCCCCCUUGUUUAGACAUCGGCGUGUUUAGAUUAUGGCGAGCAUUGCAGACAGCCUACGUACACAGCUAAGACAGCUUCGAGAUCAAGUCAUGGAAUGCAUCGGGAAUCGCCUGGCAGACGUCACUGCAACGUGACGCCACCUCGCGUGCACCAGAAAAAAGUUAAGGAAAGCACAUAUUAUCGCUACAUUUUAAUACUUUGUGUGUGCGAACCUAUUAAAAAGACAACGUGCUUACACCAAACGCGCACAAAAGUGUGACUCUAUUUUCCUGCGAGAAGACGAUCUUCUAAACGAGUUUCCAAGCCUUCUGCUCAACCGCCAUCUUGCCUAGACAGCGAAGCAGCCCGCAUCGUUUUGCACUUCAAUGCUCUUUCUCAGAAGCUGUCUCCUUCACCGGCUUCGUGAGAAUUGGAACUAAACCUUAAAAUGGCCGCUGUCCGCUUUGCUAACUAGUUUGCCAUCUACGCUGAUUACUAGAACAAUGAAUAAAGGGAAAAUCAGACAUCCACCCGUUCGUAGCAAUUGCUACAAAGGAAACCCAUACGGAUUCCUCGAAAGAAAAGCCUCAUAGUUGAAGAAAAAUUCGUCCUGGUCCGGGACUCGAACCCGGGACCACCGCCUUUCCGGGGCAGCCGCUCUACCAUCUGAGCUAACCAGGCGGCUAGCAGAUGGCAGGGCGAAGUCGAAUUUGUCGACAACACAAAGCAAAGGCAAGAGGGUGGAUGUCUGAUUUUCCCUUUAUUCAUAACUUCUCUCCACCUUGCGGGUUUUCGCAGAACUACUACGUCAAACUCUUGCCUUUGCUUUGUGUUGUCGACAAAUUCAACUUCGCCCUGCCAUCUGCUAGCCGCCUGGUUAGCUCAGAUGGUAGAGCGGCUGCCCCGGAAAGGCGGUGGUCCCGGGUUCGAGUCCCGGACCAGGACGAAUUUUUCUUCAACUAUGAGGCUUUUCUUUCGAGGAAUCCGUAUGGGUUUCCUUUGUAGCAAUUGCUACGAACGGGUGGAUGUCUGAUUUUCCCUUUAUUCAUAACUUCUCUCCACCUUGCGGGUUUUCGCAGAACUACUACGUCAAACUCUUGCCUUUGCUUUGUGUUGUCGACAAAUUCGACUUCGCCCUGCCAUCUGCUAGCCGCCUGGUUAGCUCAGAUGGUAGAGCGGCUGCCCCGGAAAGGCGGUGGUCCCGGGUUCGAGUCCCGGACCAGGACGAAUUUUUCUUCAACUAUGAGGCUUUUCUUUCGAGGAAUCCGUAUGGGCAUCCUUUGUAGCAAUUGCUACGAACGGGUGGAUGUCUGAUUUUCCCUUUAUUCAUAACUUCUCUCCAGCUUGCGGGUUUUCGCGGAACCUCUACUAGAACAACUCACACAAACACGAGCGCACACGAAACUCGCGCGAAAUUCAGCGCUCGUGUUUGUACGAUUUGACGUUCGUCCAUGUCUCAAAAAGUGCGUACCGUUCGGAGUGUCAAUGGCCAAGCCCACCAAUGCAAUUUUCAAUCUGCUAGGGCUUCAUCAAGCGACGCAUUAUUGUAGUUAAUUAAGGUACCUCAGGGUCUGUCCCAUUUUUUAUGCGCAAUGUACAGUUAUCAUAGAAUCGUUGCUUAUCAUUACGCGGACGUGUUUCCGAAACAGGCAUAAUACAAGCAUUUUUUAAUUCUUUCUUUUUUGCGCCACGGCGUGGCCGUAAGCCAGGUUUAGCAAGCUGUAGGAAGAAUUGUUUUUAUUCACUGCAUCAAUUGAUGCAUAAGUUGUGGUAUAAUUCUCGAGGUAUACCCUACCCGCACGAUCAGUAUGACGUAUAAGGCGUAAUAUGUGUCGGAAAGGGUUAUCGCUCAUGGUUAUCGAAAUUCCAGUCUCGACAUUAUCACGAGAUAGUCUCGAAAUUAGCUUGCGCGUGUGAUGCUAAUUUGUUGCUUUAAUAUCUUUCCUUGGUACAGCCUGCUUGCAUGUGCACUCCAUCGCUGUGUGAUUCCAAGGACUGCUCCACUGUCGCGCACUCUAUUCAAAGGCAGCACUGCCUACAGUAUAGCGUUUCUACUAGAUUCUACUGAAUCCGUAACGUAUUGGUGACAGCUGACUAUAAAGACAGUUGCAUGGUUCUACUGUAUAAGGUCUUAAAAUUGCAGAUUGGCGAAUGUCGAAGAAACGUAACCCAUGACGGCCACAGAAAGUGAUAAUAUGAGCUUCAGUAAGACCUUACAAUAACGCCGCCUCCUAUAGUGUAAUCUAGAACUUUUUGCUGGGCGAAUUGGUGCAUGGCUAUGUUUUAGGGAGAGUUGCGCCUGAGAAAGAACGAUAACGGGGAAAAACUAGGUAAACUAAAGGAGCGCAAACUAUCAACUGGGUUUAUUUAUGUCGAAUCUGCAUAUAUAAGGAGUGCUCACACGCAGCAAAGAAGGAAGGGGGGAAUGACGAGGAGAGGGCAAAUCAAGCCUGCCUCAUGUCAACACAAGCUGCGCAGGAAAUUGUGCUCAGCGUGAUAUAACGCACCAGAAAUGUCACCUACGCAGUCAUCGCCCUUUUCCUUGAUCUGACAAGCUUCUAAAAGCUCACGGGCAAUUUUACUCUUGCUUCUGCCUAGAAUCUGAAAUGCGCCACGGGCGUGGUGCAAUAAAUCCCGCUAAAAUGUGGACGAGUAUAUGUGGGCCAAACAGGGCGCUGCGUGAAUAAACGCGCAGGGAAGCAUGCAUUGUCAUCUAGGAAGAGGCACACUUGCCCACUCGUCGCAUUGCAUGUAGACCGCUCUUCAACAGCGGUCAGCACUGAAUAAUGCCGGGUAAUGCCAUUUCGGUUACCUAAUACUUUCUGUACAUGCGGCUCCCCGCGGGCUCGUCUAUAUAUAUAUAUGGCACGCGUCUCUGCUUCGCAGCAGUCUUCGGCGUAAAGUUCUCUCGCCGGCGUUUCCAUCGUGCCUAAAUCACGUGCGCAAAGUGGAUUUAUUGCGCCAAAAAAAAAGCACCAAUAAGUGUUCCCCCACUGUUUAGCUUUGUGAUCUGCAAAUGAUCGGAACCACGCUCCCUUCUCUGCCAUCUAUGUACUGGCAAAACGUGAGCGCUAGUGUGGCUUUCUUUUCUUGCACUAUUGAUCUUAAUGCCACAACUAACGAGACUUCACCAAUCCUUCUACACCUUCGUUCAAAUCUGCGGUAUGCAGCUUCAUCGAGCAAGUUGUGACGAAUAAUUGUUUUGUUAUUCGCUACUAUUUAAGUAACUGUUUGACUGGUUAUCAUUUCCUUCAUAUUGCACAACUUAACCUACUAUGAACUUUUCUAGCGCUCCUCUACAGAGCUUUACUUUGAGGUACGUAAUAUAAAGCCGAAAGCUAACGAAUUUGUGUCAGUGGGAUUAAAGUGUCUUCGUCAUAUUGGGUACCCAUUACCGACAACGAAUAUCAGAUAUUCUCGAUUGGCUCUGCUGCGUGAUGCCGUACAGUAUAUCGCCACCGCGAGCCGCUCAUGAACCAGCGAAAGCGUCUGAGGGUCCUCCCGCAGAGAGCCUAGUCAAGUCAAGCCACUGGCCAAUGAGCGCACAUGCAUCCAGAAUGCGCACCCAUCAUGCAAACAAGUUGCGGUAUCGCCACCACCCUGUUUGAUUUUGUUGCCCGAGUAUUAUCAACCAUUCAUUUCAAACAGCGCCGAAAAACACAACACAGGGACAGGGAAGAACACAGGACCAUCGCUGAUUGCCAGAAACCUGCUUAUUGAAGCCCGCAGAAAACAGAUAUUAUUCGCAACGGGCUGAAAGAGAGAAAGAUGAAAGGAUAGGCGAGUCGUCGUCAAUAAACUCUUGCUGCGCAUCACUAUACGAAUGCAAAAUACACCAUAUGAACACAAUCCAAACUAAUUAAUUUCUAAGGAACAUUUGUACAGCGUUAAGAUGGAUAGUUGGGCGUGUUGGUUAAGCAUGAUCUGAAGUGAAGGCGCUAAAACGACGGUGGACGAAGAAGGAACACACACACACAAACAGGGCGCCACUUCCAACAAUGUUUAAUUAGGAAAGAACAC